rnacentral:rRNA from 1 species
AUAGCGUAUAUUAAAGUUGUUGCAGUUAAAAAGCUCGUAGUUGGAUCUGUGCUGGGAACUGGGUCCGCCUUCGGGUGUGCACUCAGCUUCCCGGCUUUUUGCUGGUUUUCCCGUUGUGGCCUUUACCGGUUGCAGCGGGUGGCUGGCGAGUUUACCUUGAAGAAAUCAAAGUGCUUAAUACAGGCGAUUUGCUUGAAUGUGGUGCAUGGAAUAAUAGAAAAGGAUUUCGGUUCUCUUUUAUUGGUUUUACGAGCUGAGAUAAUGGUUAACAGAGACAAACGGGGGCAUUCGUAUCGUUGCGUGAGAGGUGAAAUUCUUGGACCGCAGCGAGACGAACUACAG